AACUUUUGACAAUGGAUCACUUGGCUCUCGCAUCGAUGAAGAACGCAGCGAAAUGCGAUAAGUAAUGUGAAUUGCAGAAUUCAGUGAAUCAGCGAAUCUUUGAACGCACCUUGCACCCUUUGGCAUUCCGAAGGGUAUGCUCGUUUGAGUGUCAUUGUACUCUCACACUCCCGAUGCUUUUGGAUUGGGAGUGGUGGACUUGGGUGUUGCUGCUUUACUGUGGCUCACCUCAAAUGGAGUAGUGCAACUCUUGGUUGGACAUAGUACGGCGUGAUAAGUGUCUUCGCCGGCGCCUCAUUAGAGGGUGGCCGAUCGGGAGCUCUGUGCUUCAAACCGUCUUCGGACAACAUCUGACAACUUGACCUCAAAUCGAGUAGGACUACCCGCUGAACUUAAGCAUAUCAAUAAGCGGAGGC
rnacentral:misc_RNA from 1 species